GCGUUACCUAAAUUAGUUAAUAAGUGGAUACGUUGACUGUUUUCGUUGUUGCGCAAAUAUCGCUUUCUUGUCCUUUCUCCCGUUGAGAAGCAGGGCAGAGAGAUCAACUCAAAAACCCCUCCCUCGAAAAAUCAGAGCUUUACACCCAAAUGGAAAUCGAAUCGAUCAAGGAACCACAAUCAGUCUACGCCUUCACUGUCAAGGAUGCUAAGGGAAAUGAUGUAGAUCUGAGCAUUUACAAAGGCAAAGUCUUACUGAUUGUUAAUGUUGCUUCUAAAUGUGGAAUGACCAGUUCAAACUACAUGGAACUGAAUCAGUUAUACCGAACCCGUACAAGAUCAAGGACUGGAGAUAUUAGCAUUUCCAUGUAAUCAGUUUGGCGAGGAAGAACCAGGAAGCAAUGAUCAGAUCUUAGAGUUCGUCUGCACUCAUUUCAAGUCAGAAUAUCCCAUUUUUGAUAAGAUUGAAGUGAACGGAGAAAAUGCAGCUCCGCUAUACAAGUUCUUAAAGUUAGGAAAAUGGGGAAUCAUUGGAGAUGAUAUUCAGUGGAACUUUGCUAAGUUUCUUGUUGACAAGAAUGGGCAGGCUGUCGAUCGCUAUUACCCCACAACUUCGCCUCUUACCAUCGAGAGAGAUGUGAAGCAGCUAUUGGGGAUUUUGUAGUGCUAAGCUAUUAAGGCUUUGUAAAGUUGUACUAAUAGGCUUGAUGUGUGGUUCUGUGCUGUUGGGAAACAUGUGACUUGUACUGGAUAAUGCUUCACUCAACAAUGAUACAUUCAAUUUGUGUAAACACAGAUUUGAUUCUCUCUCUCUCUUUCUUUCUCUUUCUCUCUCUCUCUCUCUCCCAGAACCAAGGUGGCCAGAAGUUAUCUCUGACUUGAGGCCCUAGAGGCCUAUUUGAUUGAUGUCUGUCAGACUUGGAAUUUUUACUAUGAGUUCUGUUGUCAAUGUCAUGUUUGCUGGUUUGUGCCAUAAGGAAUAUGAUAAUAUUAAGUUAUUGGUUGUUUUAAUAUAGCAAUAAACAAGUUUUGAUGGUUUAA